UACGGGGGGAGCAAGCGUUGUUCGGAUUUACUGGGCGUAAAGGGCGCGUAGGCGGCCACCGCAAGUCAGUUGUGAAAUCUCUGGGCUUAACCCAGAACGGUCAGCUGAUACUGCGGGGCUAGAGUGCAGAAGGGGCAACUGGAAUUCUCGGUGUAGCGGUGAAAUGCGUAGAUAUCGAGAGGAACACCUGCGGCGAAGGCGGGUUGCUGGGCUGAUACUGACGCUGACAGCGCGAAAGCUAGGGGAGCGAACGGG
rnacentral:rRNA from 1 species